rnacentral:rRNA from 1 species
AAUCAACGCUGGCGGCGUGCCUAACACAUGCAAGUCGAACGAGAAAGUGGAGCAAUCCAUGAGUAAAGUGGCGACCGGGUGAGUAACACGUGACUAACCUACCCUACAGUGGGGGAUAACCUCGGGAAACCCGGGGCUAAUACCGCAUAACAUCGCAAGAUCAAAGAAGCAAUUCGCUGAAGGAGGGGGUCGCGGCUGAUUAGUUAGUUGGCGGGGUAACGGCCCACCAAGACGAAGAUCAGUAGCCGGCCUGAGAGGGCGCACGGCCAC